AUCGAACGCUGGCGGCAGGCCUAACACAUGCAAGUCGAGCGGAGCGGCGGACGGGUGAGUAAUACCUAGGAAUCUGCCUGGUAGUGGGGGAUAACGUUCGGAAACGGACGCUAAUACCGCAUACUAUCAGAUGAGCCUAGGUAGGAUUAGCGAGUUGGUGAGGUAAUGGCUCACCAAGGCGACGAUCCGUAACUGGUCUGAGAGGAUGAUCAGUCACACUGGAACUGAGACACGGUCCAGACUCCUACGGGAGGCAGCAGUAGGGAAUAUUGGACAAUGGGCGAAAGCCUGAUCCAGCCAUGCCGCGUGUGUGAAGAAGGUCUUCGGAUUGUAAAGCACUUUAAGUAGGGAGGCGUUACCGACAGAGUAAGCACCGGCUAACUCUGUGCCAGCAGCCGCGGUAAUAC
rnacentral:rRNA from 1 species